rnacentral:rRNA from 1 species
UACAGAGGUCUCAAGCGUUGUUCGGAUUCAUUGGGCGUAAAGAGCGUGUAGGCGGUUUGGUAGGUCCGCUGUGAAAACUCGAGGCUCAACCUCGAGACGCCGGUGGAAACCAUCAGGCUAGAGUCCGGAAGAGGAGAGUGGAAUUCCUGGUGUAGCGGUGAAAUGCGCAGAUAUCAGGAAGAACACCCGUGGCUAAGGCGGCUCUCUAGUACGGUACUGACGCUGAGACGCGAAAGCGUGGGGAGCGAACAGG